rnacentral:miRNA from 1 species
UGUCCCUCUGGGUCGCCCA